AGCAGCCGCGGUAAUUCCAGCUCCAAUAGCGUAUAUUAAAGUUGUUGCAGUUAAAAAGCUCGUAGUUGAAUUUCGGGGUUAGUAGGUUGGUCGUGCCACUGGUAUGUACUGGCUCUACUGAUCCCUCCUUCUUGUAGAACCGUAAUGCCAUUAACUUGGUGUUGCGGGGAAACAGGACUGUUACUUUGAAAAAAUUAGAGUGUUUAAAGCAGGCUAACGCUUGAAUACAUUAGCAUGGAAUAAUGAAAUAGGACGCUCGAUCCUAUUUUGUUGGUUUCUAGGAUUGACGUAAUGAUUAAUAGGGAUAGUUGGGGGCAUUAGUAUUCAAUUGUCAGAGGUGAAAUUCUUGGAUUUAUUGAAGACUAACUACUGCGAAAGCAUUUGCCAAGGAUGUUUUCAUUAAUCAAGAACGAAAGUUAGGGGAUCGAAGACGAUCAGAUACCGUCGUAG
rnacentral:rRNA from 1 species